UACGUAGGGGGCAAGCGUUGUCCGGAAUUAUUGGGCGUAAAGAGCGUGUAGGCGGUCCGGUAAGUCAGCUGUGAAAGUCAAGGGCUCAACCCUUGAAUGCCGGUUGAUACUGUCGGGCUAGAGUCCGGAAGAGGCGAGUGGAAUUCCCGGUGUAGCGGUGAAAUGCGCAGAUAUCGGGAGGAACACCAAUGGCGAAGGCAGCUCGCUGGGACGGUACUGAUGCUGAGACGCGAAAGCGUGGGGAGCAAACAGG
rnacentral:rRNA from 1 species